rnacentral:rRNA from 1 species
UACGGAGGGAGCUAGCGUUGUUCGGAAUUACUGGGCGUAAAGCGCACGUAGGCGGCGAUUCAAGUCAGAGGUGAAAGCCCGGGGCUCAACCCCGGAACUGCCUUUGAAACUAGAUUGCUAGAAUCCUGGAGAGGUGAGUGGAAUUCCGAGUGUAGAGGUGAAAUUCGUAGAUAUUCGGAAGAACACCAGUGGCGAAGGCGGCUCGCUGGGCCGGCCCUGACGCUGAGACGCGACAGCGUGGGGAGCAAACAGG